rnacentral:lncRNA from 1 species
GAUAUCUGCUUGGUAUCUUCUCAAUAUCUUGACCAUCUGUGACAAUUUUAAUCCUCAUUUGAUCAUAUUUUAUGGUAAAUGAGCUUAACUCGAUUUUUUUUUAAUUUAGAUGCCUCCUAAUGUACUAUAACAGGUGCUAUGAUAAGAAAGAUGAAUGAGUUUGUAAAACCCAGGGUAAAUAAGGAGUUUACUACAAGAAUACAACUUCCCAUAUGCAAGAUGGGGCUGGGCAAGGCUGUGAGAGCUUCUCUUGAAUUGAGCCUAAGAGGAUGAGGAGAAUUCCAUGAUUGAGGACUCAGAGGUGGACCUCCCAAACAAAGGGACAAAGUUGUGAAAGUGCAGGUCAGAUUCAGAGAAGAGCUAAUCGUGGAAUUUAAUUUAAAAUAAUAAAAGAAAAGGACUUUGAUGAACAACCAUACCGUUUUUAGCUCUUACAUCGUGUAGUUUUCCAAGUAAAAAUGCUUUGAAUGCUG